GACAUAGGUGGCGAACGUUAUCCGGAAUUAUUGGGCGUAAAGGGUGCGUAGGUGGCGAAGCAAGUUAGCGGUGGGAAAUCAGGGCUCAACCCUGUGGAAGCCGGUAAUACUGUUUUGCUUGAGGACAGGAGAGGUUGACGGAAUUCCAUGUGUAGGGGUAAAAUGCGCAGAUAUCAGGAGGAACACCGGUGGCGAAGGCGGAUCUCUGGGCCGUAACUGACGCUGAGGAGCGAAAGCAUGGGGAGCGAACAGG
rnacentral:rRNA from 1 species